UCUGCACAGAAAUUUAAGUUUCACAAUGGUAUAAUGACGAGAGUAAAUAUUAAUAACUAUAGGUCAAAACCUGUCAAAUUUGUAAUGCGUAAAGUGUAUAAGCUACACAUAUUUAUAGAUACAUGUAACUUUAUAUCUAUAAUUUUUUUCUUGGCUAUAUAUCAAAGUUAAAGACGAGACACGCCAGAACAACUAUGUUCACUAAUAUUAAUCAUUGGCAGAACAUACUGGAAAUCCAGAAACAACUCUUGAGUACUUUCGGUAAAGGACGUAAAACAUAUAGUAGUUUAUCAAAGCGUAUUUCUUUGUCAAAUAAUUCAAGUAAAGUUUUGUUGUUUACACUUAAAAAAUGCUCUUAGUGUAAAUGAAGUUUGUUGCAAGUGCUGCUAAAAUUAACAAAUGCUCACAUUGUAUGGCGGUCUGGUGGAGUAAUAGAAGGUAGUUUGACUUACGAUGAACACGGGGUACAUGUAAAUACCGGGGGAACUUACUAUUUGUACAGCAAAAUUGGCUUCAAGGAAGGACCCUGUCGUACACAGAGGAGAAUAGGGUAUCAUGUCAAACUCAAAGGGGAUAAAGGAUCAUCAACAACACUUGCUGUGGUGCAAAAGCUUUGUUUGAAUGGAACAAACUAUGAACAAGAUUUUGCAGUACAAACUGUAUUUAAAGUACCAAUGGGACAGAAACGGCGAGUUGUUGUUGAAAUCACUGCUGACUUAAAAUUCCUUCUAAAACACCAUGCACACACAUUUGUUGUGUUUGAAAUAUGAAAGUACUUUGAAAUUUAUUAUGCCACAAUUGUGAUGCAAUCGAAAAAUUAUUAAUGGCUCAAUAUCGGUUUGGCUUCCAGUUGUAAUUCUAGAAGGUGUAAGCUCAUUGCGCGACUAGCAACAGUACGUAAGAUGAUUGAAUUGGUCUUGUUUCUUUGUGUAUUUCCGGAUGGGAGUUCUAGUGAAUGAUAGGCUGUUACGUUUUGUACAUUCCUCAAUGUGCUGAACUCUACUAACAAUGUUCACAAGAGCAGUACUGACCGGUGCCUAGUUUUCACUGGUCGCACAGAGUAGAUCUAAAUAGAAAGAGCAGUUUUAUAUAUUGCCGGGUCAAAGGUGUGAUUGUAACAAUUGGAGCGGUACAAGGAAUGCAACAUUAUGAUUACUAUGAAUCAAAUGAUCUCAUUCUUUUAUAACUGUAUUGUGUAUUUAAUAUCAUACUUAUGCAUGUAUUAUUUCUGAUGAACAUAACUUGUUGAUAAUUUCACUUCGCUAUCUAUAACCAAACUGAAUUUUUCACGGUAAUGUGAAAACCUAAUAAUAUGGUUUUAUUGCCUAUACCAUAACAUUGUAAAACAACAUGCCAAUGAGAGUGAUCUUACCUGUAUAUUUAUACAACAUACUUACAAAAAUGUAAAUAGUUUUCUCAUAAUUGUGAAAUCACUAUUAAUUUGAUAUAACAUAACAGGAUAUAUCAAAUUAUUGCGAUUCACCUAUACUCGCGCAUCAAGCAAUACUAUCGAGUUACUCGGUAAAGUACUGACUGGAGAAUAAAAAAAAAACAUUUUAUGUAGUAUUUGAUUGGAUAACUUUCCGUUCAAGGACAACGUUAAUUGUAUUUACGACUAUCUAAAAGAGAUAAACUAGAUAUUAAGGGGAAUUCCUAAACCGUUAAAUAAUGAUUAUAUAUAACACUCGUAUGACUCAAUAAAUGGCGUGUUUCUUUAAAUAUACAAACAUCCGUUAUCUGGUGCUCCUCCAAAUAGAUAAUAAUUCGGUAUUACAUUUUCUGAAAAAAAAAACCCCAACUCAAACAAUCUUAAAGAAAGUACAUAUGUCUUUUUAUAUGUGAUAAGGGAAAAGCUUAAUCUUAUAGAUAAUAUGCUAAUUAAGAAUAAUUCCUUUUAAAUACUUUCAGUAUUAAUUCAAGGUAGAACAUGCAGAUUAAGUGUGUAUUUUAAUGUACACCUACUUUCGAUAUAAAAAUGUAACAAUACAAUGAAUUGGAGUUUUCCUCUAAAUAGUAUGAAAGGACAAAGGACACCGAUUUUCUUUUAAACUGAGUAAUUUAGUUGGUGUGAUGUAUACAAAACUUGCACGGGUAGAAAAGGGAUAUUUAAUGGUUGUGUAUUUAUUCUAAAAUGCAACUCGAAGAUAAAACAACCAUUUUUAUACAUUGUAAUAACUCGUGGUAAAAUCAAUGGCAUCAUAUCAGACUAUCGUAUAUUCAAACCUCAAUUGAGAAUGGACUGUUUCAUAUAAUUAGCCUCCGUGAUAGGCUUAUGUCGCUGAUUCCAAUCAAUUUUUACCUGCAAGUUGUUAGACUUCAUAGAGCAGCAUCAGCUAGCAUCAAAAGGCACAAAGGUGUAUUCUUGCGCAGAACUGUUUUCCCUUCGGUCCCUAAAGCUGGACAAGUCCUUCGAAAUUGCGAUCCCUACAAAGUUUGAGGUUUUCGUCCAAGAAAGUAACUUAUGGUUGGCAUUUAGGCUAAUCACAGUGAUAUUUACAUAGGGGAAAGUAGCAUAAUAUUUUAUUAUAUAUAUGAACAGAUUGUAUAAUUGUCAUAAUAAUUUAUAUGGUUAAAGGAUACAAUUCUCUGUCACUGCACAUUUAAAGGCAUAGUAUAAAUUAAACUUGUGACAUGGUGACAUGGUUCCCUGAAGCAGAGAAUGUAGUAGAUCGUUUGGAAAAUACGGGAUUAGAUCGUUUGGGAAAUACGGGAUUACUGCUGGAUGUAAGUUUGGUUCAAAAUAUUUAAGAUGGUUAGACGGUUUCAGAAAUAUACAAGUUUGCAUAUUUUCCAUUAAGGAUCAUAUAACGUCCAGUUAUUGUAAAUCAAAAUAUAUCCUGUGCCCUAAAAUCAGUCGAAACUAAUAUUUAUAGAUAGUCCUUUGCCUACAAAAUAAGCGGGAUGUGUAACUGUAGCAAAGUCGUGAAACAUCUGUCUGUAUAUGCAUUUCAAAUAAUAUAGCAUAACAGAAACCUUGAAAAUAUUCCUGGUAUUGCAAUGCGGGUAUACCAACACACUUGUUAUGAAUUAUUCAAGCCGCUCUUGCCACAGUGCGACAAUAUAUCAUGUCAUUUAUAGACGGAUAAUAUAUCUUAAUAUUCCAUUAAAUGACUAUAAUUUAUAAUUUACAUUUAAUUAUGUUGAUAGUUUUCAUUGUUAGACUUCUUGUUCACUUUUCGGCUACACAAAAAUAAAAAAGUCCUUCGCCUGAUCAUAGAUAGUCGAGGUACGCUGAUUUGAUAAAAUGUCAGAGUAGCUAAUAAAAAAGGAGUUUAAGACAGGGUGUCCUGAUUUUCAAGUAUGUAAGUAAACUGUGAAUAUAAUAUUCUGUCCACUUUCCAGAGAGAAAAGAAAAAGCCAUGAAUACAGAAAAGGUCCAUAUUUGUAAAGAUCAGGGUCAGUUUUUAUGCCCCCGAAGGGAGGCAUAUAGUUUUUGAACCGUCUGUCGGUCUGUCUGUCGGUCUCUCCGCAAUUUUCGUGUCCGGUCCAUAUCUUUGUCAUCCAUGGAUGGAUUUUCAAAUAACUUGGCAUGAAUGUGUACCACAGUAAGACGACGUGUCUUGCGCAAGACCCAGGUCCGUAGCUCAAAGGUCAAGGUCACACUUAGACGUUAAAGGUCAUUUUUUAUGAUAGUGCAUUGAUGGGCGUGUCCGGUCCAUAUCUUUGUCAUCCAUGGAUGGAUUUUCAAGUAAGUACGCAAAAAUGUGUGGCGCAGUAAGACGACGUGUCGCGCGCAAGACACAGGUCUGUAGCUCAAAGGUCAAGGUCACACUUAGACGUUAAAAGUCAUAUUUCAUGAUAUUGCAUUGAUGAGCGUGUCCAGUCUAUAUCUUUGUCAUUCAUGCAUGGAUUUUAAAAUUAUUGGGCAUGAAUGUGUACCACAGUAAGACGACGUGUCGCGCGCAAGACCCAGGUCCGUAGCUCAAAAGUCAAGGUCACACUUAGACGUUAAAGGUCAUAUUUCAUGAUAGUGCAAUGAUGGGCAUGUCCGGUCCAUAUCUUUGUUAUUCAUGCAUGGAUUUUAAAAUAACUACGCAUGAAUGUGUGGCACAGUAAGACGACGUGUCGCGCGCAAGACCCAGGUCCGUAGGUCAAAGGUCCUAAACUCUAACAUCGGCCAUAACUUUUCAUUCAAAAUGCCAUCGGGGGCAUGUGUCAUCCUAUGGAGACAGCUCUUGUUAAAUGAAAGUUUACAUCUGUGAAGACUAGAAUCAUAAGGAGUCCUGUUCCACUAUUAACAGACCUUCAUCAAAGAAAAUUCUAAGACAAACUGGAGCCUGAAAAACUGUUUUUAUGCCUUACAAACAGUUAGUAGUUGAUAUAUUUUACCGGAACAUAGCGAUUUUGUUUUCAACCUCAUCAUUGUAUAUAACGUUCUGCUCAUGUGAACAUACCACUGAAUAUCGUAAUGCAUUUACGUUGAUCAGCACGAACUCAUUGCUAUAAACAAUUAUUAAGCAUAUACCUGUCUAACAUAUCCUGAUGAAAGUAAAAAAGUCCUUCACUUGAUCAUAGAUAGUCCGGAACGCUGAUUUGAUAAAAAAAAUCUGGGUAGCUCAACCACUGUAUUUUUUCUGUAGAAUCAGUAGUUUGAUCUUCUCAUAAUUGUAUGACAUGAACUUUUUGAAUAUUGAUACAUUUGGCACAAGUAAAAGAGAUAUAAAAUGCACACAGUUCGGAAAUUAAUACACUGAGCUAUGCCAAGACAUUCAUGGACAGGUGAUUAAAAAAGUUGAAUCUAAAUCACUCUCCCGUUCACCUAUAUGCAUUCAAGAAAAAACCUAUUAGUAUUUUCAGUCUGCUGACAGAACUCUGUUGAGAUGUUUCUUGAAAAAUAUAUUCUAAACUAGCAACAAAACGCUUUAAAAAAUUUUUUUGGGGAAAUAAAGUAAUGAUAUAUGCAAGGACCUUGUUAUAAUGCACUGUUUGAAAAUAAAGGAUGCAUUUAAAGACUUGGAGUUUUAUUGUAAUCUACAUAAUUGAACUUGUGAACCAGCAGAUUUGCAACUGGAUUUAAUCAGUUUGUGUAGAAUCAUUGCUCUUGCCGUCAAAGUAAGGCUCUUGGUGCUCAGACUUCAGAAAAGUUGUUGAGCAGAUUGUUGUAAUUAUACUUUAUUUGUCCCUAUUUGACCCUAUUUGUAUGUUUACCUAUACAAUCCGAUAUUUUGUCACAACUGUUAGAGCCUAUUCUUAGUGUGAAGUUAUUUGUUUUAUUAUGUCUUGUCUAAUUUUUUGAAAACAGAGAAGUGCGAGGCAUGUGAAUUU